CAGUAGCGUAUAUUAUAGUUGUUGCAGUUAAAAUGCUCGUAGUUGAAGUUCGGAUGCAGCAGAGCUUGGAAACGCUGUUAUGGUGCUUCCGUUGCUUUUGCUUGUCCACAGUGCGUUGCAAGUACGUAUGUGCUUGUGCGUGCAUUUUACUUUGAGAAACAUAGGGUGUUCCACGCAUGUUACGGCAUGAAUAUUCCAGCAUGGGAUAAUCUGGUACGACUUCCAAUCUGCCAUUUUGGUUCGUAGGUUGGAAGUAAUGAUUAAUAGGGACUGUCGGGGGCAUUGGUAUUUGACUGUCAGAGGUGAAAUUCUGAGAUUCGUUGAGGACCAACCACUGCGAAAGCAUUUGUCAAGGAUGUCUCCAUUAA
rnacentral:rRNA from 1 species